ensembl:snoRNA
UUCCUUUUGUAGUUCACAAAGGUGAUGCCUGGAUGUUUGCAGGCAUGUGUGAGAUGUGCCUACCUCAAACUUUGUUACCACAUCAGCACAUUACUCACCUGAUG